rnacentral:rRNA from 1 species
CCAGAGAACUUAGCAGAGAUGCUUUGGUGCCUUCGGGAACUCUGAGACAGGUGCUGCAUGGCUGUCGUCAGCUCGUGUUGUGAAAUGUUGGGUUAAGUCCCGCAACGAGCGCAACCCUUAUCCUUUGUUGCCAGCGGCUCGGCCGGGAACUCAAAGGAGACUGCCGGUGAUAAACCGGAGGAAGGUGGGGAUGACGUCAAGUCAUCAUGGCCCUUACGGCCAGGGCUACACACGUGCUACAAUGGCGCAUACAAAGAGAAGCGACCUCGCGAGAGCAAGCGGACCUCAUAAAGUGCGUCGUAGUCCGGAUUGGAGUCUGCAACUCGACUCCAUGAAGUCGGAAUCGCUAGUAAUCGUAGAUCAGAAUGCUACGGUGAAUACGUUCCCGGGCCUUGUACACACCGCCCGUCACACCAUGGGAGUGGGUUGCAAAAGAAGUAGGUAGCUUAACCUUCGGGAGGGCGCUUACCACUUCGUGAUUCAUGACUGGGGUGAAGUCGUAACAAGGUAGGCGUAGCGAG